GAUGAACGCUAGCGGCAGGCUUAAUACAUGCAAGUCGUGGGGCAGCAGGUUUGUAGCAAUACAGAUGCUGGCGACCGGCAAACGGGUGCGGAACACGUACAGAACCUUCCUUUGGGCGGGGAAUAGCCCAGAGAAAUUUGGAUUAAUACCCCAUAGUAUAAUGAAGUGGCAUCACUUUAUUAUUAAAGAUUUAUCACUCGAAGAUGGCUGUGCGGCUGAUUAGGUAGUUGGCGGGUAAAGGCCCACCAAGCCUGCGAUCAGUAACUGGCGUGAGAGCACGACCAGUCACACGGGCACUGAGACACGGGCCCGACUCCUACGGGAGGCAGCAGUAAGGAAUAUUGGUCAAUGGAGGCAACUCUGAACCAGCCAUGCCGCGUGAGGAUGAAGGUCCUCUGGAUUGUAAACUUCUUUUAUAUGGGACGAAAAAAGGCUUUUCUAAGUCGUCUGACGGUACCAUAUGAAUAAGCACCGGCUAACUCCGUGCCAGCAGCCGCGGU
rnacentral:rRNA from 1 species